GGAAGUAAAAGUCACAAGGUUUCCGUAGGUGAACCUGCGGAAGGAUCAUUAUUGUAUAACCGAGGUGCGAGGGCUGUCGCUGACCCGAAAGGUCGUGCACGCCCGAGUGCCCUCACACACAUCCAUCUCACCCCUAUGUGCACCACCGCGUGGGUCCCCCUUUGGCUUGUUCGGAGGGGGGCUUACGUUUUCACACAAACUUUGUAUGCAGUGUAGAAUGUAUUUUUUGUUUUUGCGAUCACGCAAUCAAUACAACUUUCAACAACGGAUCUCUUGGCUCUC
rnacentral:misc_RNA from 1 species